rnacentral:lncRNA from 1 species
CAAGGUGCUGCGGGGGAUGGGGGCUCUCUUGGUUAUGAGUGACAGAAACCCAAGUGGAAUUCGCUGAGGCCAAAAUGGGGAUUUCCUGGAGGAAGUCUGGAGAGACUCCCUUAACAGAAGGAAGAGCUGAACAUCCAAACCUCCGGAGGGCUGGGGAGUGUCGGAGGUACCUGGACUCAGCCCGGUCAUUCUCUCUCUCCACCUCUCUCCUCCCGGGGUAGCUUCGUUAUCUCCUCCUGCAGACUGGCCUCCUCCUCCACACGUGAUCUUACUGGGCCUGUGGCUUUCAGUUCCAUCUAGAUGCUAAGGAAUCCCCGAAGGGGAGCACUGCUGUUUCUACUGCAUAGCCUCUGAGAACCCUGCAUUCGUUAAGCUCCACCAUCCUCAGUGUGUUGAUGGCUUCCUUCUGGUGAUCUAAGAGCUGCUUCAGAUCUCUAGCUUCUCAAUUUGGCCAGCUGGGAGGGGGGAACUGGAAGGAGAGGAGGAAGCUGUGCCCCAUCACCAAGAAGGCCGCUGCAAAUAUGUACUGAUGGAUUCAGAGGAGCACACACAUGUCUUACACACAGGUUUCAUGGUAUAAAGUUCAUACCCAUAAUAAUAAUUCGUAUUCAUUGCUUUGUAAUAGCACUUUCCCUCUGUCUAAGAGCUAUUUAAAAUUUUACUUUUGUGAUAUUUCUGAAGGUGAGACACAGACCUGUCUUACUCUUUACAUGCAUAUUUAAUACGGUACACUUUUUCCUGGAAAGACGUUAAUAAAUCAAAAAUGCACAACUUAUGAUUGAUGCAGACUGAGACUUGAAGGUAUACAUUGGCC